UGAAGGGUUUUUCAGCAACUGCCCCAAAAGAAGGGCUGUAGGGGUGGGGAGCCUUUUGACAGGGGAUGGCUUUUCUCUGCUCCUUUCGCUCUAUUCCUUUCCCUAUGGCGCUGUUACUCUUUUUCUUUGCAAAUAUUCUCCGUUGUUAAAUUGGCCGUCUCUGGUGGCAAUACCGCACUUGGAAAGAGAACAAGAGGCAGAUGGAUAUUGCAGCUCUCUCAGCUUUCACCAUAUGUGUGCUGAAAGUUCCUAUUUUUGUUGAUGACUACACAGCUAGUGGCAUGUUGUACUUCCUGUUUACCUUUUGCGGUAAGGAUUGAGGACAGGACCCGUCGGUACCUCCUGUUCUGUCACUGCUGACUGGAAAAGAAAGAAAAGAAAGAUGAGAGCUUUCACUGAACAGUUGAGUGUUGAACUGCUAUUGAGCUUCUGUAGUGAUUCCAAAUUGUGAGGGUUGUCCUAUCAGUGCCAUUGAUGCUUGUGCAGAAGCAUGUGACCAUUUUUGUCUGGAUUUGUAAGGAUAUUCAUGUAAAUAAGCAGGGCUUUUCAAAAUUGUCUGGAUAUUUAAAGAUGUUCAUAGUUUGAGAUAUUCU